AUUGAACGCUGGCGGCAGGCCUAACACAUGCAAGUCGAGCGGUAACAGGAAGUAGCUUGCUACUUUGCUGACGAGCGGCGGACGGGUGAGUAAUGCCUGGGAAUAUGCCGAGAUGAGGGGGAUAACAGUUGGAAACGACUGCUAAUACCGCAUAAUACCUACGGGUCAAAGCAGGGGACUUUCGGGCCUUGCGCAUCUUGAUUAGCCCAGGUGGGAUUAGCUAGUAGGUGAGGUAAAGGCUCACCUAGGCGACGAUCCCUAGCUGUUCUGAGAGGAUGAUCAGCCACACUGGGACUGAGACACGGCCCAGACUCCUACGGGAGGCAGCAGUGGGGAAUAUUGCACAAUGGGGGAAACCCUGAUGCAGCCAUGCCGCGUGUGUGAAGAAGGCCUUCGGGUUGUAAAGCACUUUCAGCGAGGAGGAAAGGUUACUGGCUAAUAUCCAGUAGCUGUGACGUUACUCGCAGAAGAAGGACCGGCUAACUCCGUGCCAGCAGCCGCGGUAAUACGGAGGGUCCGAGCGUUAAUCGGAAUUACUGGGCGUAAAGCGUGCGCAGGCGGUUUGUUAAGCGAGAUGUGAAAGCCCCGGGCUCAACCUGGGAACCGCAUUUCGAACUGGCGAACUAGAGUCUUGUAGAGGGGGGUAGAAUUCCAGGUGUAGCGGUGAAAUGCGUAGAGAUCUGGAGGAAUACCAGUGGCGAAGGCGGCCCCCUGGACAAAGACUGACGCUCAUGCACGAAAGCGUGGGGAGCAAACAGG
rnacentral:rRNA from 1 species